rnacentral:rRNA from 1 species
GGUAUAGACCCGAAACCCGGUGAUCUAGCCAUGGGCAGGUUGAAGGUUGGGUAACACUAACUGGAGGACCGAACCGACUAAUGUUGAAAAAUUAGCGGAUGACCUGUGGCUGGGGGUGAAAGGCCAAUCAAACCGGGAGAUAGCUGGUUCUCCCCGAAAGCUAUUUAGGUAGCGCCUCGUGAACUCAUCUUCGGGGGUAGAGCACUGUUUCGGCUAGGGGGCCAUCCCGGCUUACCAACCCGAUGCAAACUACGAAUACCGAAGAAUGUUAUCACGGGAGACACACGGCGGGUGCUAACGUCCGUCGUGAAGAGGGAAACAACCCAGACCGCCAGCUAAGGUCCCAAAGUCAUGGUUAAGUGGGAAACGAUGUGGGAAGGCACAGACAGCCAGGAUGUUGGCUUAGAAGCAGCCAUCAUUUAAAGAAAGCGUAAUAGCUCACUGGUCGAGUCGGCCUGCGCGGAAGAUGUAACGGGGCUAAACCAUGCACCGAAGCUGCGGCAGCGACACUAUGUGUUGUUGGGUAGGGGAGCGUUCUGUAAGCCGUUGAAGGUGUGCUGUGAGGCAUGCUGGAGGUAUCAGAAGUGCGAAUGCUGACAUAAGUAACGAUAAAGCGGGUGAAAAGCCCGCUCGCCGGAAGACCAAGGGUUCCUGUCCAACGUUAAUCGGGGCAGGGUGAGUCGACCCCUAAGGCGAGGCCGAAAGGCGUAGUCGAUGGGAAACAGGUUAAUAUUCCUGUACUUGGUGUUACUGCGAAGGGGGGACGGAGAAGGCUAUGUCAGCCGGGCGACGGUUGUCCCGGUUUAAGCAUGUAGGCGGAGGUUCCAGGUAAAUCCGGUACCUUAUUAACGCUGAGGUGUGAUGACGAGGCACUACGGUGCUGAAGUGAUAAAUGCCCUGCUUCCAGGAAAAGCCUCUAAGCAUCAGGUAACACGAAAUCGUACCCCAAACCGACACAGGUGGUCAGGUAGAGAAUACCAAGGCGCUUGAGAGAACUCGGGUGAAGGAACUAGGCAAAAUGGUGCCGUAACUUCGGGAGAAGGCACGCUGAUGUGUAGGUGAAGUCCCUGCGGACGGAGCUGAAAUCAGUCGAAGAUACCAGCUGGCUGCAACUGUUUAUUAAAAACACAGCACUGUGCAAACACGAAAGUGGACGUAUACGGUGUGACGCCUGCCCGGUGCCGGAAGGUUAAUUGAUGGGGUUAGCUGUAAGGCGAAGCUCUUGAUCGAAGCCCCGGUAAACGGCGGCCGUAACUAUAACGGUCCUAAGGUAGCGAAAUUCCUUGUCGGGUAAGUUCCGACCUGCACGAAUGGCGUA